AAAAAAAAAGCCAUCUAGCGGGCUCCUAAGACAUCUUUAAAGGAGAUAAGCAAGCAAAGGUACCACAUGACUGAAAACAGGACCUUUCGAAGAUCCUACAUUUCUGUUAGACUUCCAGCUUCUUACAAGCAAGAAAGAACUGAGAAGGUCCCUCAAAUGAAGAGUCUUGUGACUGUAUUAGCAUCAAUAACAAAGAGAGAAAAGAAGAAGAGAAGAAAGACACAAGGACAGCUGCAUCGCUGCAUGGAGAAGGAAGGAGUGAACGGAGUGGAAGCAAAGAGUGGUGAUACCCAUUUACUUUUUCUGAAAACCAGGAGAAGAAGGCUCAAUGUGAAGAAAGCCAGAGACAUUUUGCCUAUGGUUUCGUACUGUUUCUCCAUCCCUUAGUCUGUGGUCAUGAAAUAACUUUGAUUUGGGAGUUCAUGUGCUCAUGGGCUCCACAUAGUUUAUUUGUCCUGAUGAGCAUUUACUCUUUGAUCCAAUGAGGCUAGAUAGCCAGUUCUGUUUGCCUUCCUUUCAGUGUCUCCUCUCAGUUCUUGGAAACAGACUAAGAAGUUAUAAUUUUGUUCCCCAAA